AUACGAAAGGUGCAAGCGUUGUUCGGAUUUACUGGGCGUAAAGAGAUCGUAGGUGGUUUGUUAAGUUGGAUGUGAAAUCCCGGGGCUCAACCUCGGAACUGCAUCCAAAACUGGCAGACUUGAGUUCGGGAGGGGUAAGCGGAAUUCCGUGUGUAGCAGUGAAAUGCGUAGAUAUACGGAGGAACACCUGAGGCGAAGGCGGCUUACUGGACCGAUACUGACACUGAGGAUCGAAAGCGUGGGUAGCAAACAGGAUUAGAUACCCUGGUAGUCC
rnacentral:rRNA from 1 species